GACGAACCGUCCAAACGUUAUUCGGUAUCACUGGGCUUAAAGCGUUCGUAGGCGGCCUGGUAGGUGAGGUGUGAAAGCCCACGGCUCAACCGUGGAACAGCGCUUCAAACCACCAGGCUUGAGGAUGGCAGGGGUAAUGGGAACUGAUGGUGGAGCGGUGAAAUGCGUUGAUAUCAUCAGGAACACCGGUGGCGAAAGCGCAUUACUGGGCCAUUUCUGACGCUGAGGAACGAAAGCUAGGGUAGCGAACGGG
rnacentral:rRNA from 1 species